rnacentral:rRNA from 1 species
GACGAACGCUGGCGGCGUGCUUAACACAUGCAAGUCGAACGGAAAGGCACUGCUUUUGUGGGGUGCUCGAGUGGCGAACGGGUGAGUAACACGUGAGUAACCUGCCCUUGACUUUGGGAUAACUUCAGGAAACUGGGGCUAAUACAGGAUAGGAGCCCCUGCUGCAUGGAGGGGGUUGGAAAGUUUCGGCGGGUGGGGAUGGACUCGCGGCUUAUCAGCUUGUUGGUGGGGUAGUGGCUUACCAAGUCUUUGACGGGUAGCCCGCCUGGGAGGGUGGACGGCCACCUGGGGCCUGAGGGACGGCCCAGACUCCUACGGGGGGCAGAGGUGGGAAAUAUUGCCCAGUGGGCGGGAGCCUGAUGCGGCAACGCCGCGUUCGUGAUGACGGCCUGCGGGUUGUAAACAGCUGUCGCCUGUGACGAAGCGUGAGUGACGGUAAUGGGUAAAGAAGCACCGGCUAACUUCGUG